GACGAACGCUGGCGGCGCGCCUAACACAUGCAAGUCGAACGAGCGAUAGAGAGCUUGCUUUCUCGAGCGAGUGGCGAACGGGUGAGUAACGCGUGAGGAACCUGCCUCAAAGAGGGGGACAACAGUUGGAAACGACUGCUAAUACCGCAUAAGCCCACGGCUCGGCAUCGAGCAGGGGGAAAAGGAGCAAUCCGCUUUGAGAUGGCCUCGCGUCCGAUUAGCUAGUUGGUGAGGUAACGGCCCACCAAGGCAACGAUCGGUAGCCGGACUGAGAGGUUGAACGGCCACAUUGGGACUGAGACACGGCCCAGACUCCUACGGGAGGCAGCAGUGGGGAAUAUUGCACAAUGGGGGAAACCCUGAUGCAGCGACGCCGCGUGGAGGAAGAAGGUCUUCGGAUUGUAAACCCCUGUUGUUGGGGAAGAUAAUGACGGUACCCAACAAGGAAGUGACGGCUAACUACGUG
rnacentral:rRNA from 1 species